UCGCAGCAGCCCACCGAAAUUGCCCCAAAUCCUUUCCUCAUUUUUUUUAGCUCUUAUAUUCCCUUAACCCAACCCAACCGCUUACCCCUUAGACCCAGUAGCGUGAACAAUUGCAAGAGUGAUAGGAUGAUGACUGACAACGACAAACUUCAGCGGUGUAAUGCGUGCAAAACGGUUCCAAUGUUCUCAAACGUUAAUAGAGCAGCGCACAUGGAUCCACUCUCGGCGACCAACAGCAAUAUGCAGCUUUUCGCCUGCAAGAAUUUUCCUUGCAGCUGCGUCUGUUUGUCCAUAUGGCUAUGGGAUAAUGACAUGCAACAACUUGAGGACAAGCCUGAAGAAUCGGAGCCGUCCAUGCUGCUGCUUCGUCAAGAUCCUAUGGAACUUGGACAUUCUCUUGGGAUCACAUCUUGGUGGUGAUAGAUCAUGUUUAUUCAGCUCGGUACUGUCUCCGUUCGCUGCCCAGGAGAAGGUGAUAAUCUCGUCUUUUACCUCAUUUAGUUUCAUCUCUUUCUUCUCGACUUUUAUGUGUAUUGAUGGAUGUCUGUAUCUUUUAUGUCAUGUAAGCUAAAUACCAGCGUUACUCUUUCUAAUGCUAAGCAAUUAUUUUUCUGUUGUGCUCGGAAUUAGUUCGAGAUUUGCUUCCUAUGUUGAAUGUUUUGAAUGCUCUGCAUAUUCGGUUUUCUUUUGCAGGCGUGUUCGGAGGUCAACACUUGGUUGUUUCUUUUUUGAUAUCAUGAAUACCUUUAGUUGUUUGGUAGAGUGUAUUAGAGAAAAUAAUGCAUGUAUUAGCUUGAUGUAAUAGUAGUACCUUGUUUGGUACACUUUUUUAAUCAUAGUAUAACUAAUACUUGUAUUAGUAAUACACAGAUUAGUUGUUUGGUAGAGUGUAUUAGAGAAAAUAAUGCAUGUAUUAGCUUGAUGUAUUAGUAGUACCUUGUUUGGUACACUUUUUUGAUCUAUGCAUAACUAAUACUUAUAUUAGUAAUACACUCUAUUGUAUAUUAAAGAGUGUAUUACUAAU